UAACACUUUUCCCCAGUGUUUGCCCAGAC
rnacentral:piRNA from 1 species